AGGUUUUGGGGUUAUAUGGUCAAGUGAAUAAGCGCAUACGGUGGAUGCCUAGGCGGUAGGAGGCGAUGAAGGACGUGGUA
rnacentral:rRNA from 1 species